UACGUAGGGGGCAAGCGUUGUCCGGAUUUAUUGGGCGUAAAGAGCGUGUAGGCGGCUAGGUAGGUCCGUUGUGAAAACUCGAGGCUCAACCUCGAGACGCCGAUGGAAACCAUCUGGCUAGAGUCCGGAAGAGGAGAGUGGAAUUCCUGGUGUAGCGGUGAAAUGCGCAGAUAUCAGGAAGAACACCCGUGGCGAAGGCGGGUCUCUGGGCCGUAACUGACGCUGAGGAGCGAAAGCGUGGGGAGCGAACAGG
rnacentral:rRNA from 1 species